rnacentral:rRNA from 1 species
UACAGAGGGUGCGAGCGUUAAUCGGAAUUACUGGGCGUAAAGCGCGCGUAGGCGGCUUUGCAAGUCGGGUGUGAAAUCUCCAGGCCUAACCUGGGAACUGCACUCGAGACUGCAUGGCUAGAGGGUUGGAGGGGGGACUGGAAUACUUGGUGUAGCAGUGAAAUGCGUAGAUAUCAAGUGGAACACCAGUGGCGAAGGCGAGUCCCUGGACAACACCUGACACUGAGGCACGAAAGCUAGGGGAGCAAACAGG